rnacentral:lncRNA from 1 species
UGCAGAUAUUCUUCAUUAUUCCAUCAUCAUCUCAAACCUCUUGGGUAUAGUGUUUGACUGCUACUGUGACCAUAAAUUCCAAUAAAACCUAGGAAAAAAUGAAACCACUACAUUAACUGAAAGGGAAGGAUUUGACAGCUUCUUUUGGGCAUAUCAGAAUCGCCAGCAUCACUACUCUUGCACUGUGGGGCCAUUAUUAAGUGAAAUAAGGAUUACUUGAACACAAGCACUGCAAUGCUGCUACAGUCAAUGUGAUAACCCAGCUGGUGACUAAGUGACCAAGGACGGGGAGUAUCUACAGCGGGGAGACUCUGGAAAAAGGGAGGAUUCACAUCCAGUGCCAUCGGGGCAGGGCAGAAUGAGAGUUCAUCAUGCUACACAGAAUGGCACAGAAU